rnacentral:lncRNA from 1 species
UACAAGACUUGAGAAAGGUCAACAAGAGGAUAGAAGAUAUUCAUCUGACUGUUCCAAACCCUUACAAUUUGCUCAGUAACUGUUCAUCGAUGAGAAACAGGGGUAUGCUAAAGGGGUCCUAACACAAAGGUUGGGACCCUGGAAACGCCCUGUGGCCUACCUGUCUAAGAAAUUGGACCCUGUGGCCUCCAGCUGGCCACCGUGCCUAAGGAUGGUGGCUGCUAUUGCUGUCCUGAUCAAGGACACUGGAAAAUUGACUUUGGGACAGCCACUCACCAUCCUAACACCCCACGCAGUGGAGGCCUUGGUAAAGCAGCCCCCAGACCGCUGGCUCUCUAAUUCUCACACCAAGCCUUGUUACUGGAUGCAGAACGGGUUCAGUUUGGGCCUGUAGUUGCCCUCAAUCCUGCCACCUUGCUUCCUCUACCAGAGGAGGCAGAACAGCAUGACUGCCUACAAAUCCUCACAGAAGUACAUG